AUGAUGGGUUGUGUUGUCAAAUUUCGAGGUUGGGGGGCCUGUAGUUUUGUUGUUUUGUCCGGUGCCCUGAUUCCAUCACUCUUUUAUAUUACAGUAGAGUCUCACUUAUCCAACACUCGCUUAUCCAACGUUCUGGAUUAUCCAACACAUUUUUGUAGUCAAUGUUUUCAAUAUAUCAUGAUAUUUUGGUGUGAAAUUUGUAAAUACAGUAAUUACUACGUAGCAUUACUGCAUAUUGAACUACUUUUUCUGCCAGAUUUGUUGUAUAACAUGAUGUUUUGGUGCUUAAUUUGUAAAAUCAUAAUCUAAUUUGAUGUUUAAUAGGCUUCUCCUUAAUCUCUCCUUAUUAUCCAACAUAUUCGCUUAUCCAACGUUCUGCCAGCCCGUUUAUGUUGGAUAAGUGAGACUCUACUGUAUGUCGAAACACUUAUGGUACAUUGUUACCUUCAAGGUACCACUAAGGGAGAAGCCUUUCCAGCAUUGCCUUAAUUGUACAAAGAUACAAAAAUCAAGUCAGUACGAUAGCACUUUUACAAUUUUGGGGCAACCACUGAGAAGUCUUUGUGCUUAAAAGACUAAUGUUCAUACCCAGAGCAAGAUCUUAACACAAAGGCAGGAUUGUAUGAGUGAAAAUUAGCCCUUUAGAGAACCUGGUCUCAAGCCAUUUAGGAUUUUAAAAGUUAAGCCCAGCAUUUUUUUUCAUUUGACUCUGCAUUGUUUAUAAGAUUGCAGCUUUGAUUGCUUCUGCUCAGUAGGUGCAUCUAUGUUUUAUUUUCUCUUCUUUUUCACCCUGGAUCCAGCUGUGAGACAAUUGUAUGUGUGUUUGCUUCAACGCUUGUAAGAACACUUAAUUCUGGCAAUCUUGGCCUGCAACCAAAGCAAGUCCCUUAAAUGUACGGCAACCAACACAGAGUGAGAUCAGACUACCAUUCCAGCUAUUCAUUGAGAACAACCCCAAACCAAUUUUGUACUCUAAACAUGUUUAUUGAAGAACGCAGGUAAAAAGGGGAAAGGGGCAUUUCCAAAAAGGAUCAGCAGAAUAGGAAAUACAAAAUAGUAGAAAUCCAAAAAUGCAUAAAAUCAAGAGAACCAAAAUCCACAGUAGUAAGUUAACCAGAAAUCCAUAAAUCAGAAAGUAAGAACUUUUCCAAAGUACAUCCUUCAAGGAAACAAAGACAUGAACCAGAGAACUUGAGAAUACUUGAAUAAUGAACUUGAGAGCAAAGACAGGAGAGUCAUUUCUAUGGCAAUGUUGUUUCCUCUGAAAGGCAUGAAGUCAGCACUCCUUAAUUUAAGCCCGACCAAGUAGCCAUGAGAUCAUGCCUAAUACAUCUGGGUUUCAAGGUCUUCUCGCGGAUUCUCUCAGUGUCUAACUGGUCUGUUUUUCACUCCCUCCAUUCUCAAGUCUAAUCUAGUUUCUCUUGAGAAAAUCAGAAAAAUCCUCAGCUGCUUGCUGAGCUACAACAGAGCUUUCUUCUUAUUCUGUCACAAAAAAGGGCAAAGAAAGAAGGAAAGGCUAUACCUGAAAAAAGAAUGUGAUGCUCAAACUUUAUUUCUUUUAUUUAUUUAAGGUAUUUGUACCCUUCCUUUCUCCACAAGCAGACACAAGGCAGGUUUGUUGUAUGUCUUUCGGGCUGUGUGGCCAUGUUCCAGAAGUAUUCUCUCCUGACGUUUCGCCCACAUCUAUGGCAGGCAUCCUCAGAGGUUGUGAGGUACGUGAUCCCGGCCAUGAAAGCCUUCGACAACACAUUAGACACAAGGCAGCUUACAACAUGUAAACACACAAUCAAAAUAUUAAAAUAUCAAUACAAAGGUAAAAACAUGGUAAAAGCGUAUAUUCAAUAAAAUCAAUUACCUUCAAUGCAGGUGCACCUACACUGUAGAAUUAAUGAAUAUUGACACCACUUUAACUGCCAUGGCUCAAUGCUAUGGAAGCAUGGGAUUUUUAGUUUGGUGAGGACCUGAGCACUCUUUGACAGAGAUGGCUAAAGACCUUAUAAAAUUACAACUCCCAUGAUAUCAUAGCAUCAGGCUAUGGCAGUUAAAAUGGUCUAAAACUGUUGUAUUCUAUAAUGGGAUGCAACUUUGGAAUUUGGGAAAGCAGUAGUCAAGCCUGAACUGAGCAUUAAACUCAAUCAAUUACUCUUAACAUACAUCUCAGGCAUGUGAGGUUAGGAGGAAGAAGAGAAGCACAUAUACCACCUAUAGCUCUGUUUAGGAAAAGUGGGGCGUAGCUGUAUUAAAGGAACAGAACAAAUAAAAAAAAAGGAAAAUAAAAGAAAUGUGGCAAAUUGAAGAAAGACAAAGUUCCUCCAGAUUAAAUUAAUUAGAAAACAGGCCGGGCUGUGGUGCAGGCUGGUUAGCAGCCAGCUGCAACAAAUCACUCUGACCAAGCGGUCAUGAGUUCGAGGCCAGCCCGUGCCUGCGUCUGUCUCUGUCUCUGUUCUAUGUUAUGGCAUUGAAUGUUUGCCUUAUAUGUGCAAUGUGAUCCGCCCUGAGUUCCCUUCGGGGUGAGAUGGGCGGAAUAUAAAUACUGUAAAUAAAAAAAUUAAAACAGUAAUGUCUCUCAUUCAGCUCUGGCAUGAAUACAAAAAAACCUUUUGCUGUUGUAACUAUGACUUCC
ensembl:lncRNA